GAGGACUGCAGAGUGCGGGCUAAACUGAAAUGCUGAGGGCUAAACUGAUUACAGAUCGGGUGGCAUUUCGGAGAAGCCCCGGAGGAUAUAGAAGAUGAUACAAUCUGCUGUUGCUUCCCAAGGCCAAGGGAUACCGAAGUUCCUGAAAAGGCAUUCAGUUCCUACAGUGAGUGUCAGUGAACCAGUCUCUGGUGGGCCAGAUGGAGACCAGGACAACAACACAAGGUGGUUUCUUCUUUUCAGUAGUGGACGAUCCAGCCUACCUACAGAGGAGGAAUUGUGAACAUCGAAGACGACGAGGUGCCCAAUGAAGAGCUCCGUGGCCUGUCUGUCAGAUGUGUCUACCUUCCUGCCUGGCUGUACCAUCAAUGCUCCCUCUGCUCAAGAUACUACCUUUCCAAACUGCUUAUCAUCUAAAGCUGUGGAAGACCAUCGCCCAAGAACUGCCAGAUCUUCCUACAUUUGUUUUGUUAAAUUGUUUUCUGUUUGUUUAGUUUUUAAAGCGACUUUGAGAUUCAACAUGUAAU